rnacentral:tRNA from 1 species
UGAGGUAUAGCUCAGUGGUAGAGCACUUGCUCAGCAAGUAUGAGGCUCUGGGUUCCAUCCCCAGCACUGCAA